AUACCACAAACCACAAAUGAACCCGAACAUAGUACUGAGCGACUCCAUAAUAAUAUGGAAUACACUAUGCUGGAACUAGUAACAAGAAUUUACUAUUCUCCAAAAUGUAAGCAUAAGCCAGAAAGGAUAGACCACUGGCCAUUAACGAAAAUGAAAACACUACAGCAACAUUACAAGAAAACUCUGUACCCCCCCCCAUCGUUAACCUAACACAAGGACAUUUCUGGAAGAUUAAAAGAGAGAGAAGGAACUCGGCAAAUUUCAGCUCCGCCUGUUUACCAAAAACAUCGCCUCUUGCUAAUACAUAAGAGGUCCAGCCUGCCCAGUGACAUAUUCAACGGCCGCGGUAUUCUGACCGCGCGAAGGUAGCAUAAUCACUUGUUCUUUAAAUGAGGACUAGUAUCAAUGGCACCACGAGAACUGCACUGUCUCCCCCCUCCAAUCAGUGAAACUGAUCUCCCCGUGAAGAAGCGGGGAUAUAAUUAUAAGACGAGAAGACCCCAUGGAGCUUUAAACCCUACAGCAACUCUGCCGCAUAAUCCUAUAUACCCACCAGAGUAGUGCAUGAUAGUUUUAGGUUGGGGUGACCGCGGAGUAAAAUCUAUCCUCCGCAACAAAAAGAACUAAGCCUUUAUCCAAGAGACACCUCUCUAAGAAUUAGCAUACUAAUGUACAAUGACCCGAUAAUCGAUCAACGGACCAAGUUACCCUGGGGAUAACAGCGCAAUCUACUUCAAGAGCCCAUAUCGACAAGUAGGCUUACGACCUCGAUGUKGAUCAGGGUCUCCCAGUGGCGCAGCCGCUACUAAAGGUU
rnacentral:rRNA from 1 species